rnacentral:lncRNA from 1 species
CAUUUUUACAAAUGAUCUGUUAAGGGAACACAGCAAGCUGAGUGUGCUCCAACGCUGGAGAGAUUUACGUAAAGAAGCGGAAGAUUGGAAGGAUUGCCAAAUGAUUUCGAUAAAAUAAGUACCAAAAUUUGAUUUUGGAUAGCAAAACGCAAAAUUAGAAGAGGACCACAUUACGUGCAUUUCUGCAUGAUAUAUUAUACCAAAAAUGGCAGAUUCCAAUAGAGAUGCUCAUAACUCCUACAAACUGAUUAAAACUCUUUUAGGUAUAAACAGGAUUGACAGAAUUAAAAAAAAAAUUAUACUUACUAACAUUUCCGGUAUGUAUAAGUGAAUGAUCAUUUACACUCAGGACCCAUCAGUAGGCAGCAGAGAUGUUUGCAAAAAGUGUUACAAAACCACCUAGCAUCAUAUUGUAAGUAGCACGAGUAGCAUUGUUCGGUAAAGUGCUUUAAUUAUUAUCUGGCUUCUGUACAAAAAAAAGUUUGGUUCAAGUGUAAAUAAAAUGCUUUAAUCUCCCCUAAAUACUUACACUGUAUGGAUGGUACAACUCCUUGUGCAGACAGUUUUAAUUAUAUUACCUUGCAGCAGAUCAUGUGCAGAUGCGAGUUGUCUGUCAGAUCUUUAUUUCACAAAGAAUGCAUUUGCAUAACAGUGAACUGACUUCAAAGCAAAGCACUUUAAUUAUACACUUGGACAAAAAGCUUAAUCCAGUGAUAUACUUUGUAAAGGAGGACUGUCAUGACUGUUCAUCCCAUCCUUGAUAACCACAUCUAUGAUCUAACAAACAUGCCAAGCAUGGAUCAGAAGUCCUGAAAAAUAAGAUUUUUUUUUAUAUUAUAUGUACGAAUACGUAUCCCUGUUAAAACAUUAAAAGUUAUGGUAAACACAUUCAGUUAUAGCAAGUAGUUCAUGCACUGAUUAAUAAUAUUUGCUGAGUGUCCCUCUUUUUGAAAUAAGAUAGGACUUGGAUUGACGUACAGUCUCUAACAAACCCCCAUUUCUGAAGUCGACAUCAAAAUCUGACGUCAUAAUAAAAUAAGAUUUCAAAUCUACAUGCAUGACCAAUUAUAUAUCCCUAGUGGGACAUGCAGUAAUAAUUACCUUUCCAGAGCAUAUUUGAUUUUUUAUUUUUAUGUAGAACUUGUGAAUAUUGGAUCCGGUAAGACAGUUUUGCCAGUCCUGUCAACUGUUCCCUGACCUACGUUUAAUAAUAUAAAAUAAAUGCUUCGCUGAGCGUAGCCUGACACGACCGCAUAUGUCGAACCCUGAACAGGUGGUGCAAGUUUGGACACAUUGUUCAAGCUUGAUACUGUCUGAAUUUGAAUUGUGAUCAAAUGUUUGACAUAAUAUAGGUUUCUGAUACAAAAUAAAUGUGGUGAAUUUUUUUAGAAUUAUCUAAAAUUUUUAAAUGAGUUAAAUAAAAUUGUAUUAGAUUUUAAUUGAAAAUUUCUUGCUUGUGCAAUUGAAUAUUUCAUGCAAUUAAGCAAUACUGUGCAAUUCAAUUUUUCUUGCUAUUGCGCAAUACUCUGCAAUUAAAGAUGUCUUCCUAUUGCGCAAUACUGUGCUAUUGGAUAUUUCUUGCUAUUGCGCAAUACUGUGCAAUUGAAGAUUUCUAGCUAUUGCGCAAUGCUGUGCAAUUGAAGAUUUCUAGCUAUUGCACUAUACUUAAUUUUACACAUCCUGUUUGGUGUGUAUCUCCUGCCAUAUCAUUAUUAUUUGCUAAUAUAUAUAAAUCAGAAAUAACCAACUUAAAAUGGAAAAUUUUAAAGAAAAAAAAGAAAAAAAGGAAAAAAAAAAAAACAAACUCCCCCUAACUUUUUGAACCCUCUUAUGAUUCAUCACCCCAAACUCAAUCCCAGCAUUCCCUUUGUGGUAUGGUACCUUGCAGUACAUUCCAGAGAGAUCUAUACACUUGAACACAAGUUAUUGUCUGGAAACUAGAAAAAUACUUGUUUUUUUUUGCCCCUUUUUGGCCCCACAUUCCUAAACGUUGAGGACAAUAACCCCCAAACUCAAAGUAAGCUUUCCCUUUGUGACAUGGGACCUUGUAGUACAAUUUCAGAAAGAUCCAUACAUUUACACACAAGUUAUUGUCCUGAAACUAGAAAAAAAGCUUGUUUUUUUGCCCCUUUUUGGCACCCUAUUCCUAAAAUUUUGAGGCAAUUACCCCAAAAUCAAUCCCAGCAUUCCCUUUGUGAUAUGGACACUUGUGGUACAAUGUCAGAUAGAUCCCUACACUAACAUACAAGUUAUUGUCUGGAAGUUACAAAAAUACUUCAUUUUUUGCCCUUUUAUGGUCCCUUAUCAAGCAAAAAUAUUGGUACAAUAACCCGAAAAUCAAUCCCAACUUUCUGUUUGUUGUAUUUAACCUUAUGGUAAAAUUUCAUAGAGAUCCAUUCUCUAAAACUAAAGUUAUUGUGCGAAAACCAAUGUGUCCUCGGACGACGACGACGACGCCAACGUCAUUCAAAUAUACGACCGCAAAAAUUUGCAGUCGUAUAAAAAUAGUUGGAUUAAAAUACACCCUUAACUUUGACUGGAACGACCUGGACAAGGAUAUGACCAGGGGUGGUUUAAUGACUGAGAUCACACUCAAUUUAAAUGAUAAAAUAAAUGAAAUAAAUGACAAUGUUACUCAAUUUAAAUGAUAAAUAAAUGAGAUUAAAAACCAAUUGUUCACAGAACAAUUGAAGGUCUUUCCACCAUUAAAGAUUUAUUUUGAUAUUAAAAUAUGAAAAAUCAGUUUAAAACGUUAGUUCUUAGGGCUUUAUGAUGUAUUAAUAUGAAUUUGAAGCACAGGUCAAAAUCUAGAACGUCCAAUUAGCUUAUGACCUUGACCUAAAUUUCAAGGUCACAAACAAAGGACCUAAAAUCAAACGACCCUAGGUCGUGAAUAUGUGUAGUUAAUGAGUUAUAUCACUUUACGCGUAAUUCUAAAUUAAGGAUGGGUGAAAAUUCCCAUUAAUUGUCUACGUACCGUUCAACACAAAAUAUAUAAGUAACGACAUGUCGCAACUAACAAUUUAGUAAAAAUAAUUUGUCGAUAUGUUAUACAGUGUUUAGCCUUCGGCUGUGUUUGCUCUAUGGUCGGUGUUGUCGCUUUGACAUAUUCACCAUUCUUUCUCAAUUUUAUUCAAAAUAAGCCAAAAUGUAAAUUUAAAAUAUGACCUUUGACCUUAUGACCUUGACCUAAUUUUCAUUUUUCUGGACCAAGGAUCUCAAAUCAAAAUACCUUUAGUCUCUAUCACUUAUGGUUUACCAGUUAGAAACGCAUUUCACUUAUAUCAAAUACAUAUGGGGGAAUAACUCUCAUACGAAGUCUCCGGAUAGCUUCGGUCAAAAUUAAACUCCGAAUCCUGAAGAUGUAAUGAACAAUUUGGUAAAAUAAAUGUGUCGUAAUCUUUUAUGGUCGCGAAGGAGUAGUGGCCACAAGAAAAGCAGGAUUUGGGGAGAUAACUCUUACAACGUAAAGUAUUUGGUUACGCCUUUGUCAUGAUAACACGAUAUCAUAUUCCAAAUAUCUAAGCGACAUCUUUUGAAACAUCAACAAUUUGCAAGAAAAAAAUUAGGCGGAAGAAAAAAAAAUAAUAACAAAAAACCAAUUGUUCAGAGAACAAUUGAAGGUCUUUCCACCAGUUAACAUCUAUUUUGAUAUCAAAAUAUAAAAAAUCAGUCUAAAAUGUCAGUUCAUAUGGCUUUAUGAUGUAUAGAUAUGAAUUUAAAGCAAAGGUAAAAAUCUAGAACGUCAAAUUAACCUAUGACCUUGACCUCAAUUUCAAGGUCACAAAAUGAGGAUUUCAAAUCAAAGACCCUAGUCUCUUAUAUGUAUGGUUAAUAAGUUAUAUCACUUUAAACAUAAUUUAAGAUAUGAUAGGGGCUAAAACUCCCAUUCAUUGUUUACGUACCCUUUCAACUAAAAUUAUUUAGUUACCACAUGUCGCAACUAACAAUUUAUACAAAAUAAUUUGUCGAUAUCUUAUAAGGUUAAUGAAAAUGAGUGAAAAUAAGACAAAUUCAAAAAUUAGAAUAUGACCUUGACCUUUGACCUUGACCUAAUUUUCAUUUUUUUUGGACCAAGGACCUCAAAUCAAAAGAUCCUAGGUCUCUAUCACUUAUGGUGUCCCAGUUUAAAAUACAUUUCAAAAUUUCAAAUACAAAAAGUGAAAUAACUCUCAUAUGGAGCGUUCAUAUUGCUUCGGUCGAAAUUGGACAAAUCAUGCGAAGGAUAUGACGAGCAAUUUUAUAAAAUAAAUUUGUCGUAAUCUUUUACGGUUGCGAAGGAGUUGUGGACACCAGGAAAACAGUGUUUGGGGAGAUAACUCCUACAAAGAAAAGUAUUCGGUUAUGCAGGUAAACUUCAAAAGCGCAUAAACUGUUCGAUAUCAUAUACCAAAUAUCUAAGCGACAUAUUGCGAAACAAAUGUUUAUCGCAAGAACAAAAUUUGGCGGAAGAAAAAAAAUAGGUCUUUCCACAGAAAAGUGGAAAGACCUAAUAAUCAGAACAAAAUCAAAAGGUUUUUCCACGGAAAGGUGGAAACAACUAAUAAAUGACAAUGUUACUCAAUUUAAAUAAUAAAUAAAUGACAAUGUUACUCAAUUUAAAUAAUAAAUAAAUGACAAUGUUACUCAAUUUAAAUGAUAAAUAAAUGACAAUGUUACUCAAUUUAAAUGAUAAAUAAAUGACAAUGUUGUACUACACUUGAUAUUUGAAUGUUUUUGUUUCAUUGUAUUUACAUAAAAGUAUCUGGUCAUUGGUUGUCCCUUAUUUUAACUUUUGGUUUCAAAUGCUAUUCAACUAUAUAUUUGAUUAGGCGUUUCACUGUUACAACUGAUUUUAUAGUUGCAACGUUGAUUACUGUAAAUGCAGAAAUUAUUGCGUGCAUUUAUUAUUGCGAUUUGUUAUUUUAGACUAAAAUGCGUUUUUAAAUUUUGCAAUAUUUAGGAAAAUCCUAUCUCUAUCCAUCUUCAUAUUUCCGCACUCAGUCACAACUUUGACUAUUACGUGCCGUUGCAAGCGUGGCUUAUUUACAAUUUAAAAGAAAUAAAUUUGCAGUAAUUUUACGUUACAUUGCAAUGGUGCAUAGAAAAAAUAAAGUAAAAAUAUAGUGAUUUAAUUAAUUAUUUUUGUUGUGGAUUGUUAUCCUAUGUAUAUUUCUUGGUAAAACUGUGUACAUGUUAAGCAAUUUUUAGAAUAUUUGUGAAAGAGCAGAUACAGAAGUCUGCUCUUUGAAGUCGUCGACCGUGUACAUGUAUAGCGAGUAGCUCUUCAUUGGGCCAUCUCAAUUUGGUUAAUUUGAUUUUUGGUGUGAGUGUCCCAGACACAAGAACUGUACUCAAGCUUAGGUCUAACUAAUGAAAUGUAUGCCCUUUCUUUAAUUUGUUUGGAUGAAACUUUAAGGUUACGUUUUAGGAAAUUGAGAUGUCCAUUUGCAAUGGCGGACUACAGAACGGACGCAUAGACCAGGAAACACAAUUUUCUCUACUGUCGUAGGUGGGCCAUAAAAACGAGUAGAUGCAACUGAGAUGCAAAUUAGAGGAUGAAUUUAAAAAAAACACUUAAAAAGAGUAUAUUCGACAUUAAAUGUAAAUUAUAUUUUUUUAUUGUAAAAAAAAUGCUGAAAUGGAGAAAAGAUUUAUAUUGUUAGAAAGCAGUAUACCCCUUAAGAAGAUAACACAGAUUCAGUUUUAAGUUUUAGUCAGUUUCUCGUUUCUUUUCAAGUAACUAGCAAAAAAACUUUGCAAAUGGUUUUGAACAAAUGGUGUUUGGAGUUUUGAGUUUUAACCUCAGGAACGCCCCCUUUCAAGUAACAUAUGAAACUGCUUGAAGCUUCCUGAUAUUUCAUCCGAUAUUUUUUCUUACCAGUAGCUAUAAUAGGUUUUUGAUAAUAUAUAUAAAUAUAUUUUGAAUUAUUCAAAUCGUUGUCUUUUUUUUUGUCUUUGACGAAUAGUCAUUAUAAUUACACUGCUUUCUAACAAUAUAAAUCUUUUCUCCAUUUCAUCGGAUCUGCUUUAACACGAGUUUUUUCCCCCGCUAUUAUCAUUUAUUUCUCUCUCGAAAUUAAAAACUCCUGAUUUUAACUUCAUUUUAUUUAAGGAAUGACUGUAGUGUUUUUCUGUCUUUGAAGAAAUAACAUAAAAAAAAUGAGGUGAACACUGAAUAACCUGCGAAGCGGAUCAUUUAAAAGUGUGCAACACAUUUUCCCGGUUAUUUCGAAUAGACAGAAAAAUUGUUGCAGUCAUUCCUUAUAAUUUAAUUCUAGAUUCCAUAUUUAAUAUAGUAAUUCAUGAAAAAAAGUUGAUGAAGUCAUGAAAACGAAACGUUAUAAUAGGCAUGCUUCCGAAGUGCUUUUCUGGGUUUACCUUCAUCAUUGAACCCCUAAAGACGAAUAUGUGAAAGCUAGUGAUGUAUAAAAACCAAAACAGUUGAAGCGCUAUAUAAUCAAAAAGUAUUUACAAAAUAGCCAAAUCCAUCAAAAUCAAAAUUAUGUCUAUGAGCUUUCUUCAAGCAUGAAUAAAAAAGUGUGCAAGAUUCGAUGUAGGGGACUAAUAAUCCCGAAUGCUCAACGUAUUUUCUGACAACAAAAAGAUAAUAUUCUCCGCUCUCGAAGUAAGACGUCUCAUACAUGGAAUAUUAAAUGGCAGGAUAGACCCCUUCUUACACUUAAGGUGGUACCUAACACUACAGGGAGAUAACUCUAUAAAGUCAGCUCAACGUUUUAAUUACGUUGUGUUGUAAAAGUAAUAUUAAGCUUCUCAAUGAUUAAAAUUGGUGUUUGUCAAACUGCUAUAUAACCAGUGUAAUUUUUCUGACAAAACGGUUGGUUCAAAAUUUUUGAAAAUUAUAUAUUUUUCGUUAAAGGGUCAAAGUAAAUACUUUGACAAAAUUUUAUGAAAAUUAAACGAGCCAAAUAAAUUUUAGUGAAAGUGUUGGGUACCACCUCAAAUAAAAAAUUUAGAAAAGAGAAUGUUGUUAGUAGAUACAAAACAGAAAAUGAUGAACACUUUUACAAAAGAUAAAUUGGAUCGGUGUUCUGUGUAUUCACAUUACUUGUAGAACUCUCCUUACUCUUGGUUAAAAAUGAAAUUUCCGUGACCUAAAUGGUUUGCGAAAAUUAAUAUUUUUAUAUAUAGUAUAGUAAAUACACAUUACAUUUAUUAUCCGUGCCUGAGGGAGAUUUUUAAAUUUGUUUAUAUUUUCCAAAGGGUGUCGACCGAGGGAAAUAUGGCUUUUCAAGAGUCAACAAAAGGCUUAGGAAAAUGAAUGUUUUAUUCAACUGCCUUUGUGUUUUUAUUUCCUUGACAAAAUCUUCAUUUUCUAUCAAUGUUUCAUAUCCGCUUGCUUUUAUGAAGAAAAACGAAAUGAACAUUGAUAGAAGCUUCAUGCCUUUGUAAGUCUUUUGUGUUUGUUUUUUAAAUUUUUUAGUUCAUUUAUAUGUUUCGGGGUGACGUCCACUUUCACUGAACUUGUUAACAUUUUUGUUCAGGGGCCAGCCGAAGCCCGCCUUCGGAUGUGGGAUCUUCUCACGAUAUUGAAAACCACUGAAGCCCUUCGGCUGCUCUUCGGUGUGGUUGCUGUCUAUUUGACACAUUCCUCAUUUUCAAUUUCAAUUGUAUUGAUAACUUGACAAUACUGAUAAAAAAUAAAUCUGAUUGGGCAUAUAUCCAUGUCAUAACCCUGACACCUGACUAAAAAAGCUUGAAGUCAUCUUGAAAAAUUCAAAGCGACACUUAGUAUUUGAUGUUUAGAGGGAAAAAUGAAGUUUGACAAUAUCACGUGGGAUUGUGUCAAUCAAUCAAAUAUUGAUUUCAGUGGAAUAAUAUUUAUUAUUUAACACGUAAAUAUUAUAGGAUUAUAAUUAUUUAUAUAUAUAUAUAUAUUUAUCAGUUAUCCUUAUCUACAAAAUAUAUUGUCAACUACAUUUUUUUAAUGAAUAAAAUUUGCAACUUUUUUUUAGUCUAAAUAAUUUUUUGGCGAAGUACAAGAACUAUGCGAAAAUAAAAAUGUUUAAAAUAAUGAAGACGGAUCUAAUGAUUCUAUUAUCUUAGGUUGCUUUCAUACUACAUGGUUUUACUUCAAACGAAAUGAAAGCAUAUGACAAAAUCCUCUAUCAGCCAAUAAAAGAUCAGCAUUUGUAUGAAUUUAACUCCAACGGUAAAUAUAUAUAACUAAAUUUUAUUUCUUUUAGAUUUUAAUGUUUCUCAUGUUAGGUUUUGUAUUUGUGUUAGCUUUGCAUUUUUAUAGAAGUCUUUAAGUUACAUUUGUCGCGUAUGUGACAUAGACAAAUAUCCCGUAAAUAUGUCAUGUCUAAUGAUGCAAUACAAUCUGGAAGGAAAAGUUGAAAGAUUGUGUCGAAACGUUAACUUUCUUGUUCAUUUUUUUUUUUGGAUAUAGAUAAGGCCGUUAGUUUUUUUCGUUUGAAUUGUUUUACAUUGUUUUAUCAGGGCCUUUUAUUGCUGACUAUGCGGUAGGGGCUUUGCUUAUUGUUGAAGGCCGUACGGUGACCUAUAGUUGUUAAUGUCUGUGUCAUUUUGGUCUCUUGUGGACAGUUGUCUCAUUGGCAAUCAUACCACAUCUUCUUUUUUUAUAUUCAACAAAUUAAACCAACAUUACUAGUUAUUGAAUGCAAACUUCAAGUGCAAUUAUAUAAGAAAUAAGGUGCAUAGUACACUUUGCCUCGCUUGCACUAUCACAUUUCCAUGAACUGUGAAACAUGGAUCAGAACCAUAAUUGGCAUAUAAACUUCACUUCAUUAUGUACAUGUGUAGUUAGUUUCAAGAUAAUGUAACCACAAACUACAUUAAACCAAACGUAACCUGAUACGGAAAAGACAGACUCACAAAUCGGAAAGUAAUGCCCAUCAACUAUCGAAAACAUGGCUUAAAAACGACUAACAUUCUAAUGAUGAAUUUUAUUUCAUACCUAAUUUUCAAAGGCUGGUUUUGUUUAUCCCCUUCUUUUUAAUAGUCUAGCCGACGAACGUUUGUUCAGUUCAUCUCCACAUUACAUCGCAUUGCCAUUUUCGUUAAGAUGACAGCUAGUUCUUACAACAGUACGCGCUCUUGCAUUGUGACUGGUUCCCAGUGUACCAGUAACUUCAAAUACUGCAUCACGUAAUUUUUUUUAUCUAAAAACUGAUUUAUUGCACUAUUGCUGUUAUAAUGAAUACCAUGUCUACAGCAUUUGACAGGGCACCCCUGUAGUGUUAGUUUUACUGAACAAACAUGGAGAUUGUUCAGUGAAUUAAUAAUAAUAAAUGGCUAGAUUUACAUGUAUCAAUAUUAUGUAUACAGAUUACUACAGAAAUUAAUUUCCGGAAAAAAAUACAUUCGUGAAUCGCUUUGACACUGUAUAUAUGCUAGUUGAAUUGGUCAUGACCUAUCGAUCACAGAUCACGCGAUGGAGGCAAGUUAACAGGCGAAGCAGUUUGUAUAUAUAUUAAUUAUGUAGGUAUUAUGUAGGUAUACAUACUAACUUGGACGGUUGCGAAUUGAAGUACAUUAUAUUAGUUUAUUUAUUCAUGAAUAUGUGAUAUAUUAAAUGAAGGAUGCUUCAAGAGGAUAGAAGGGGUUAAAUCUUUUAUCACUGAUCAUGAUCAUGACGAAGUCCACAACAUGUGGUUUUAAGAUUAAAUAAUAUUGAGACUCAUGUUUUGCUGAAUAGAUAUAGCAUAUAACAUAUAUGCAAGAAUAAUAAGUAUCUGUACAAGCUUACUUCUUUCAAAAUUUUACCAUGUUUACCACCUGAAAGUGUCGAAAUAUUUAAGUAGAUCAAAAAAUCUUUUUUGAACAGGGCAUAUACAUCAAAAUUUGUAGUUUUAUAAUUUGAACUGUGGGUGCACUUGUGGAUAGAAAAUGUAAUGAGUGUCACCAAAAGAUUUAUAUCAUGAUAAUUGAUAUCACAUAUUUUAUAUCCUAUUAUAAGAUUUCUGUAGUUUAGUAUAUGAUGACCAAUUUUAACUUUAUUUAAUAGUAUUUUGAUCUUCUCCAAAAAAGUUUUAAAGUAUUGACAUUCUAGAAAAAAAUGUUUAUAAUCUUCUGUUACAUUACAUAAGUCACAUUUAAUGUCUUCUUUUAUCUUCCAUCGAAAAGGCAGUUGUUUACAAGGAAGGAUAUGAUGCAUCAAUUUCCAUUUAAAUAUUUAUACUCUGUUAUCUUUUAAACAGGUCGAGAACUCUAGAUUUCCUGACGUCAGAACUUGAUAAAUUUGCAUAGUAAUUUCAUAAAACACAAGGCCAUGGCAAGAUGGCCUCGAAAAACUGACCAAUCGACUCAAUGAACUACAAUGCACCGGGGGCUACUACGAGUUUACUACAACUCGAAAACACGUGGAAUUAGUGAAAAAAAACCUGUCGACUAAUAUAGUGUCUUGGACUCUCAAAAUAAAUAUUUUUGUUCUGCGAAUAUGUUUAUUGUAAAAUAUAUAACAUAAUCUUCAAUCUGCAUGCUCAGAUUGAAAAAGUAUUGACUACGAACCCUCACUGUUGGACUUUCUUUCUCGCCUUGUAAAAGUAUUUAAUCAGUUUUUUCCCAUUAUUCAUUGUACUUGUGCAAUAACUUCACGGCGUGAAACCGUGAAAUUUCGGAUGAAGUGAUCACUGUCAAGUAUGAACAUUUUGUAAUCUCUUUUAAACAUAUAUAAUGUCAUUCCAAAAACAUUACUGCCUCGAAAAACACGAAAACUGGCGCAGAAACACUUCUAUAUGUACUGGAUGUGUAAACUUUUUAUCAGGAUCUGAACACAGGUGCUUGAGGACAGGAUCCAUAUAGUCCCUCCCCUUAUUAUCAUAAAUCUUAGAUUUUUCGAUGUAUAUCAGUUAUUUGUGCUAUAUAUAUACUAAUACACAAUAUUUAUACUCUAAAUAUGCAUGUUUACUAUCAACGAAGAGCUCUAUAGUCGUUGAUGGUAAACAGUUUUUAUAGUUGUUUGCCACUGCCGUCAGAGCAAAGGGAACAGUUUAAAAGUCCGAAAUACUGAAAUAUGUCAAAAAUCAAAACUUAUAGAUUUUGUAAACACUGUCAUGUAUGUAAAUAUUUCAUAAUGGAAACUCGAACUUCUGAGGGAUGUUUAUAUACAAAAAUGAGGAGAAUGGGUAUGAUUGCCGCAUGGGACAACUAUCCACUUAAGCACAAAUGAAGUGGAUGUAAGUAAUGAUAGGCAACUGCAAUGCCUUAAACAAUGAGAAAACCCCAUCCCGUAUAGUCGGCUAUUAAUGGCCCCGAUUGAUGAUCAAACGUUGUUGUUUCUUAAAGACAAAUAUGUAAAUACAUUUUUUCCUGGAUUUAAAUUACUUUUUAAACAUCACAUUAGGUACAAUAUAAAAAAAAAUUGUGAAAACUUAAAAAGUUAAAAGACAAACUCUAAGUCUUUGUCUUUUGUAUGAACACAAAAUUCAUGGAUCACUCAUUUCUCUUUAACUAUUUAUACGAAAGUUGCUGCAAACAUUAAUAUUAGCAUCGGCUGUUAUCGACGGCUGACUUUAAGGCCGUUAGUUUUCUCGUUUGAAUUGUUUUACAUUGUCUUAUCGGGGCCUUUUAUAGCUCACUAUGUGGUAUGGGCUUUGCGCAUUGUUGAAGGCCGUACGGUGACCUAUAGUUGUUAAUGUCUGUGUCAUUUUGGUCUUUUGUGGAUAGCUGUCUCAUUGGCAAUCAUACCACAUCUUCUUUUUUUAUAUUUACACUUGUAUGUUUGUUUUAUUGGUAGUUGUGUUUUUCACUGUUGUUUCGUUGCUGUCUGGUAGACGAAUACAUGAAAUCUCCGUGUCAUCAUCAAACAUGUAAAUAGCUAUAAAGGAGUAGGUUCACUGAAACCCCUUUUUGGCCCCAAAAUAUAGCAGUUUUAGAAAAUUGUGAAAAUGUAAUCUUUAAGCUAUAUUUUGGAAAGUAAAAUGCUUCUGCUACAUAAAUAUGAGCUGUUCUUGACGAUACAAUGCACAAAUAUCGCGUUUUAGCAUCAUUAAGUCAUGCUAAAUUACUGAAAUCUUCAAAAUUUUACCAUUUUGGUCAUUUUUUAGACGGUUUCCGUCUAAAAUGAAAGAGGCCGCAUUCGUGUUCAUUCAUAAUAUUGAAAUGUAAGUUGUAUUUGAUGAUAAUACAAAACAUAUAUAAAGGUUGAGGAUGAAAACGGAUGCGGCCACAUUCAUUUUUGACAAAAACCAUCUGAAAAGUGACGUUUUUUGGCAUAUUUGAUAGAUUUUUAUAUUUAAGCUUGAAUCAGAGCGUUUUUAUUGACUAAAUCAGUUAAAAUCUUUCACACAAACUAAGCGAAUCAAUUGAAAUAGACACUUAAGUGUUUAAAAAGUGUCCAAAAACUUUCGUUAAAUGAACUUGAAAUUUGAGGCCAAAAUCGGCCCUUACCGGACCUUCGAUUAGAAACAAACUCUUCAUUUAUCUGAGCAUGGAACGAAUACUUUAUAUCACGAACUAUAAAUGUGGAUACAAAAAAUGAAAAACUAAGCGAGAUUGUUAAUCCCGCAUUGCACGAAAAAAUGUGUUGUAUUUCAGUAAGAAGCACGUGUUCUUGGUUGAUUGUGAAGUAGUCCAUAAUGCAUUGUUACUCAUUUAGUGGAUUGUUAAAAAAAUCCAGGUAACAAUAAAUUGCGUCACACGUAAAUAAACAAUUACACGUGUGAUAACAUAAGUAUGCCAUGGCCAAUUCAUGCAUUUCCAUAUAAGGUAGUGUUCCUGACCUGUUAAAUAAGUAAAUACAAAGUUUAGCAUUGAUUAAAUUGGGAUUAAAGAAUCUAAAUUUAGUACACGUUUCCAUUUAAAGAAACCUGAAGGCGUGUCUUCAUUUCCACUAUUAAUGUGUGUGUAUAUCUGUUUUGUUUCCAUUACUUGUAAACUUAUUAUCUUAUUUUUUUCUUUUGAAUUAAUGCAAAUGUUAAGUUUAUUUCUUACUUUUGAUUUUAUUGAUUUUUCUGAUUUAAGUACCUUGAGCAAUUCAUUUGGUAUAGCAUAUUUAAGUAUUGAAAUUUCAAACAUUAAAUUGGAUUUUGAGGAUAUUUUAUUAGAUAUUAUUUCUUGAGAGAUAUUACCAUUUUGGUCAAUUAUAUCAUUAACAUAUAUAAUACCUUCUUUUAUCCAUUUUAUAAAAACUAAACACUUUCCUUGAAAUUUUAUCAGUUUGUAUCCCCAUAAGAUUUGUUGUCUAAUGUUUUUAAAAUUCAUAUUGAGUUUGGUAUUAUUUAAAUUUUGUUCUUUGAACCAAGACUUUACAAUUCCUAAGUAGAAUUUUGGUAAAGUUUUAUGUAGGUUUUGUGUAGAGUAAAUGUUGUCUGGAUUCAUGUAAAGUAGCAUGAAAUAAGCACCAAAUUUAUUAAAGUAAAAUGUCGGAAUUACUUUCCAGUUAGCAAAAUCAUCUGCAGUAAGUCUUUUGAUCCAUGCUAUUUGUAGUGCAGUGAUAUAAUUGUCUACAUCUGUCAUCUUAAGCCCUCCAUCAGUAGUAUCUUUGCUAAGUGUUGUUCGUUUGACGUUUUACCAUCCCAUAUAGAAUUGUGAAUUUCUACGGCAAUAACAAAAAUCAGGGAACUUAACGGGCAGCCUUGCCUAAUCCCGAGUUUGAUGUUAUAUGGUGAUGAGACCCACCCAUUGUUUAACAUACAACCGGUAAUAUCUUUGUACAGAGUUUUAACCCAUUUUAUAAAAAGAUUUGGAAGGCCAAAUUUCUUGAGUGCUCCAUACAUAAAUGGCCAUUCCCAUGAGUCAAAAAAUCUAUGAAGAGCUAUGCUCCUUCAAAAUUAAAGUAUUCUGCAUGGUCUAUUAUGUCUUGAAUUUGACGAAUGUUGAAACCUAUAUACCUAUUUUUAUAUAACCGUUUUGGUCACUAUGGAUGAUUUUUGUAAGAAUUGGUUAAAGACUUUGUGCUAUAAGUUUUGUGUCAACAUUGAGUAAAGUAGUUGGUUUAUAGUUGUCCAAAGGAAGUGGCUUUCCUUUUUUAUAUAAUAAAAAGACUACUCCUAUUUUUCUACUGUGCUCAUUUCUUCUAUUUGAUAGCAUGUGUUAAAUACUUUAACAACAUUUUCUAUUAGAUUUGCCCAGAAGGUUCGAUAAAAUUCUACACUGAGCCCGUCGAUACCUGGUGAUUUAUUUAGUUUCAUAGAUUUAAUAGCUGCUGUAUAUUCUUUUAUAGUAAGCUCCCCUUCUAGAUUUGGAGUUUCCUCAUGUUUCUGUUAUAUAUUUUUUUAUUUCAUUUUCAUUAGGAUUUGUACUUUUAUAUAUAUUUUCAUAAAAGGUCUUUUCUAACUUUAAAAUUUCAGAUGAAUCUGUUAUGAUAUCUCCUGUUUCGUUAGUAAUUUUUGGCGUUCAUAGUAGUAGUCGUCACGCACUAAAUUCAAACUUUGACCAUUUCCCCCCAAGUAUAUUUGAUUGCACCAAUCUCCAUGUUGGCAUAAUGAAGUGUCUGUCAAACCCAGUCUUAGCCAUUUAUUUUUGUAACAAUAAAAGUUUUAAAAGAAACUUCACAUAACAACAGCAUGCCGACCAGUCAUCAACCACGAGGCCACACCGUUUGUUCCAUAUAUAAAUGUGAUAAUCUUUAGAUUAUUAUGUUUUCCUUAUCUGCACAUUAUCGUCGAUUCUAGACGAUCCGGUACAUAUUAAAUUUGCUAGUUGGUCCUUUUUAUAGAUUUGUAUAUAAAGGUUUUACUCCUUGUUGAAUGUCGUAUGGUGACAUAUAGUUGCUCAUUUGUAACCCUACAGCAUCUUCUAACUGGUACACCCCGGCCACUUUUUAGUCUGUCGUCCGUCCAUCCGUCUUGAGAGUUUGAUUUUUAAAGAUAUGCAAUACAAGGUCUAAAUCAUUGCUUUCAGAGUGCACUCCAAUCCAUUCUUACACGACUGAUUCUUUUUGUUUGCUUAACCUCUAAUUGCACAUGUGUAGUAUAUAUUCACUGUAAAUUAAUUAUUACGGCAACUGUCAUUCUUUAUAUUAACUUUAACAACCUAAAUAAACAAUUAAAAAAAAUAUAUUAUCAAUUGUAAAAUUUUACUAUGGAUAUUUUGAAUUUCAUUUAUUAUUUUGAAUUUUAGAGUUAAAGUUCAGUGUACAUAAAUAUAAAAUAACUUUCUUUUCGUUAUAAAUGAUUUUUUUUCUUCAGUUUUGACAGUUUCUGAGGGAACAUUGCGGUCUGGACAUUUUCCAUAACGACCAAAGACGAUCAAUUCUUUUAAACAAAAGAAUGAAUUUCAUAUAAACUUUUUUUAUGAUUUUUAAUAGUGUACUAGUACAUCUGCUAAUUUACUUUUUUUUUUUAUAUAUAAAUGAUGUCUGUGGUUUCCCAUACCCCAUGUCCUUUUAUAUAAGGAGUAUGACAUCCGCAAUCUGUAUCAUUGACUAUGCCAUUGUAUUAUUUUAGGAUACAGAUUUUAUGUCUUCAACUCUUCCUUAACCACUGAUUGUGGUUCAUUGAAAAAUUCUCACAAUGAUAUAUUGUGCACCUCCUUCUUACAUCCUGCCACUUAAAAACAAACGAAUUGUUAUCUUAUCUUGAAUUUUGAUAUAAAUAAAAGUAUAUCUUAUGUACUAUACUAUUAAGUAAAAGAUCAAUUUGUCAACAUGUUGUUUUUACUGUACUCACGUACUCCAUUUUGGAUGAAUAUUGUGGUAGGGCCAAUACUUUCGUACCUUUCCAUUGUGAUGAACAUUAUCAUCUUUGUGGCUUUAUUUCAUAAAAAGAUAAGGUCACCUACAACAGUAGUAAUGCAAGGAUUGGCGCUGGCUGACGGACUCACUGCGUUUUGUACCUAUGGAUUUGAACCUUUUUUCAAUUUUCAUUAUGAAGUGAUAGGAAAUGAUAGUAUUGAUGACAUAAAUAAUACUAGUACAGAGAUGGAAGAACUAAAAAAACUAGUUGGACUGAAGUUUCCGUAUUGUCUCAUACAUUUUUGUCUUACAAACCUAGGAGACACAUUCCACCUUGUGUCUAUACUCUUGACAGCGUCUCUUGGGAUACAGAAACUCCUGGCUGUGUUAUGUCCAAUAUGGAGCAAAAUUCAUAUCAAUAAUCAAAAAUCGUGCAUUGUUUGCUGCUCGUAUUUUUUGUUUACUCUGGUCGUCAACGUGCCAAGACUAUUCGUAAUAAGUCUAAGUCGUGGUACAGAAGGAGAUGUAUGUUUAGUCUCUGACCCACAACUUUCAGUUCAGAAAUAUAUUCUAGCAUACUAUCCGAUCAUAUACUCCAUUAUUUUGGUUAUUGCAGUAGUAACAAUGCUUAUAUCAACAUUCUAUAUUAUAUAUAUACUGUGCCGUCGGAAACGUGUCCGUGGACAUGCUGCGGCUUCCAGAGCUGAAAAAAAAUCUUGUAUAUUGAUUGUGUGCGUAAUGACGGUCUUUUUUCUUGCAGAGGUCCCAAGGCUUUAUGUCAACUCAACUAUAUUCAGUACCUAUAACCUCAAUUUGGAAAUGCAGAAAAAAUAUAGUAAUGACAUGCAUAAUAUUGCCUUACAGAAACUGUCGACCGAGGCUGUCCAAACGUAUUCAUCAUGUUUUGAUGAUAGCUUGCUCCUUAUCAUAAGAGAGACCUGCCUCUCUGAUUUUAAUGAACUGCCAUCACAUUCUAAAAAAAGGAUGGUUAAUCGAGUGGAAUUUUCUUUAAAGGUUUCGAAAUUUUAUCGAUUUUUUGUGGAUAAGAUUUUUAAAGAUCAAUUUAAACAAAUCUAUAAUGAAUAUCUAAAGGACGCCCUUGUUCAUCUUAUAUAUUUACGUCAGAAAAGAAGGUUUAAAAUAUUCCAACAGUUCUUCUAUAAUUAUACAACAUUCAAAUAUUGCAAUAAAAGAUCAAAUAACACAUAUUCCGAUCAUCUGUACCACUGUUUUGCGGAAAAAGACAAAAACUAUAGUUUUGAAGUACUUAUUUUGUCACCGUACAGCGAACCAAUGAACUACUUACUAAAUAUCAUCUGGGGACAUAUUAAUAUUAACUUGGAACAUUUAAAACUUCUCAUUGAAAUUUUAAAACUUUCAAUGAUCAUUGGCUGCGCUUCAAACUUUCUUAUAUAUAUAGCUAUGAGUGAAAAACUAAGAGAUGCUUUGAAAAAGAUGUUUAAUUGCAGUUAACAUCAGACAAUAGGAUGAAUUCCAAACAAGAACUUAAAAAGAGGAUACCGGACAUGUUAUUUUUAGUGUUAUAGAAUUACUGGUAUAUAAUGUGCUUAUACCCUAUAGGAAGAUGACACAUAUCUAGUUGCUACUUAGUUUGAUAUUCGUCGAAAAAAUGGUGAAAAGUGGUUUAAAGUUUUAACCCUGGAAACGAUUCCCACCAAAUACAUUUUAUACUUCCCGGAGCGUUCUGAUAUUUCACCCAAAAUAUUUACUUACUAUACGAAAACAGUAGGUAUACAUGCUAGCUUUUUGAUAGUGAGUUCAAAUUUAUCAAUUCGUUGCCUGCUUUGUCGAAUAGUUACUAGUACAUCGCUAUCUAAUUUGAUAAGUUUUGUAACAGGACAUUUAUCAAAAAUGACCAUAUAAUUGAUAUUCAUGUCAACAUUAAAGGGCUGACUACUGGGCUGGUUAUACCCUCAGGGACGAAACGUCCACCAGCAGUUGCAUUGACCCAGUGACGUAAAUAGUUAAAAGUACCAUGAUUAUAAUUUAAUAUGCCAGACUUGCGUUUUGUCUUCAUAAGACGCAUCAGUGACGCUCAGAUCAAAAUAGUUAUAAAGCCAAACACAUACAUAGUUGAAGAGCAUUGAGGACCCCCAAAUUCCAAAAAGUUGUGCCAAAAUUUUAGUAUAAAUUCAGAAGAUGUCAAUUGUAAAGCAAUUGACAUAUUUAAAUACUAUUAAAAGUAAAAUAUUGACAUUUUUGUAAAAGAUUGUCAGACAACUUGCCUUAGAAAACUAUUUUGUGUCUAUUGACAUAUCGCGUAUGUGCAAAAAAGUAGAUUCGUUCUGUUAUAUAACUUAACAUUUAGUGCUAUUUUCCUUGUCCUAAAACUAGAAACAAGGACUCCUGAAUUGUUCAAAUUCUAUUUCUAUUUUUCUGCUUAUAACCUAAAUGAUAUCCCUAAAAAAUAUUUUUGUAUAAAAGUAUUUUAUGUGAAUGCUCAAUAUAAGACUGUAUAAUGUAGUCAAAGCGAUUCAUAAAACACUGAUAAUUUGUACAAGAAAUAUUGUAAAAAUUAGGAUUAGUACAACAUAUUAUAUGUGUUACAAACAGCAUUGCCAACACUCAAUAACUCGACUUAACGAUUUUCUUCCGGCGACUUUUUAUGCUCUUGAACAAUUAAUAAACAGCUUUACGAAAUAUAAGUUAAAUCCAUACCUUUAUUUUUUUAUGAUUCAAUUAAAAGGAGGCGUAUGACUAAGAUAUAUAUAUAUAUAUAUAUAUAUAUAUAUAUAAUGAACAUUUUAUGUAAUCAGAAAUUUUGAACAUUUUAACUUAUUUAGUAUUUAUUUGAAAAAUGUUGACAAAAAUUUUAUUGUGCAUUACAAUUGACAUUUUUUCUGUUUUUCUGUUUUCUGAUUUAAUAUAAAAUUAUUGGGUUUUUAUUUCUAAAUUGACUUUUUUGGUCAUUAAAUGCUUUUUUUUCAAAUUCCAUAAUGUUUGCGAUGUUUCAAAAAAGAGGUAUAUUGCAAUAAAAUAAGUUGCUUCAUUUAUAAAAUAUAUAACAAAAUUUUAAAGUUUUCAUUGGUUAUAUAUAAAAAGACGAUGAGUUAAACCCUUCUUUACCUUUUUUUGUUUAGACAAUAUUAACCUGGAAAACU